UUCGACACACUAUCAUUAACUGAAUCCAUAGGUUAAUGAGGCGAACCGGGGGAACUGAAACAUCUAAGUACCCCGAGGAAAAGAAAUCAACCGAGAUUCCCCCAGUAGCGGCGAGCGAACGGGGAGGAGCCCAGAGCCUGAAUCAGUGUGUGUGUUAGUGGAAGCGUCUGGAAAGGCGCGCGAUACAGGGUGACAGCCCCGUACACAAAAAUGCACAUAUUGUGAGCUCGAUGAGUAGGGCGGGACACGUGGUAUCCUGUCUGAAUAUGGGGGGACCAUCCUCCAAGGCUAAAUACUCCUGACUGACCGAUAGUGAACCAGUACCGUGAGGGAAAGGCGAAAAGAACCCCGGCGAGGGGAGUGAAAAAGAACCUGAAACCGUGUACGUACAAGCAGUGGGAGCCUCUUAAUGGGGUGACUGCGUACCUUUUGUAUAAUGGGUCAGCGACUUAUAUUCUGUAGCAAGGUUAACCGAAUAGGGGAGCCGAAGGGAAACCGAGUCUUAACUGGGCGUUAAGUUGCAGGGUAUAGACCCGAAACCCGGUGAUCUAGCCAUGGGCAGGUUGAAGGUUGGGUAACACUAACUGGAGGACCGAACCGACUAAUGUUGAAAAAUUAGCGGAUGACUUGUGGCUGGGGGUGAAAGGCCAAUCAAACCGGGAGAUAGCUGGUUCUCCCCGAAAGCUAUUUAGGUAGCGCCUCGUGAAUUCAUCUCCGGGGGUAGAGCACUGUUUCGGCAAGGGGGUCAUCCCGACUUACCAACCCGAUGCAAACUGCGAAUACCGGAGAAUGUUAUCACGGGAGACACACGGCGGGUGCUAACGUCCGUCGUGAAGAGGGAAACAACCCAGACCGCCAGCUAAGGUCCCAAAGUCAUGGUUAAGUGGGAAACGAUGUGGGAAGGCCCAGACAGCCAGGAUGUUGGCUUAGAAGCAGCCAUCAUUUAAAGAAAGCGUAAUAGCUCACUGGUCGAGUCGGCCUGCGCGGAAGAUGUAACGGGGCUAAACCAUGCACCGAAGCUGCGGCAGCGACACUAUGUGUUGUUGGGUAGGGGAGCGUUCUGUAAGCCUGUGAAGGUGUACUGUGAGGUAUGCUGGAGGUAUCAGAAGUGCGAAUGCUGACAUAAGUAACGAUAAAGCGGGUGAAAAGCCCGCUCGCCGGAAGACCAAGGGUUCCUGUCCAACGUUAAUCGGGGCAGGGUGAGUCGACCCCUAAGGCGAGGCCGAAAGGCGUAGUCGAUGGGAAACAGGUUAAUAUUCCUGUACUUGGUGUUACUGCGAAGGGGGGACGGAGAAGGCUAUGUUGGCCGGGCGACGGUUGUCCCGGUUUAAGCGUGUAGGCUGGUUUUCCAGGCAAAUCCGGAAAAUCAAGGCUGAGGCGUGAUGACGAGGCACUACGGUGCUGAAGCGACAAAUGCCCUGCUUCCAGGAAAAGCCUCUAAGCAUCAGGUAACAUCAAAUCGUACCCCAAACCGACACAGGUGGUCAGGUAGAGAAUACCAAGGCGCUUGAGAGAACUCGGGUGAAGGAACUAGGCAAAAUGGUGCCGUAACUUCGGGAGAAGGCACGCUGAUAUGUAGGUGAAGCGACUUGCUCGUGGAGCUGAAAUCAGUCGAAGAUACCAGCUGGCUGCAACUGUUUAUUAAAAACACAGCACUGUGCAAACACGAAAGUGGACGUAUACGGUGUGACGCCUGCCCGGUGCCGGAAGGUUAAUUGAUGGGGUUAGCGGUAACGCGAAGCUCUUGAUCGAAGCCCCGGUAAACGGCGGCCGUAACUAUAACGGUCCUAAGGUAGCGAAAUUCCUUGUCGGGUAAGUUCCGACCUGCACGAAUGGCGUAAUGAUGGCCAGGCUGUCUCCACCCGAGACUCAGUGAAAUUGAACUCGCUGUGAAGAUGCAGUGUACCCGCGGCAAGACGGAAAGACCCCGUGAACCUUUACUAUAGCUUGACACUGAACAUUGAGCCUUGAUGUGUAGGAUAGGUGGGAGGCUUUGAAGUGUGGACGCCAGUCUGCAUGGAGCCGACCUUGAAAUACCACCCUUUAAUGUUUGAUGUUCUAACGUGGGCCCCUUACCGGGGUUGCGGACAGUGUCUGGUGGGUAGUUUGACUGGGGCGGUCUCCUCCUAAAGAGUAACGGAGGAGCACGAAGGUUGGCUAAUCCUGGUCGGACAUCAGGAGGUUAGUGCAAUGGCAUAAGCCAGCUUGACUGCGAGCGUGACGGCGCGAGCAGGUGCGAAAGCAGGUCAUAGUGAUCCGGUGGUUCUGAAUGGAAGGGCCAUCGCUCAACGGAUAAAAGGUACUCCGGGGAUAACAGGCUGAUACCGCCCAAGAGUUCAUAUCGACGGCGGUGUUUGGCACCUCGAUGUCGGCUCAUCACAUCCUGGGGCUGAAGUAGGUCCCAAGGGUAUGGCUGUUCGCCAUUUAAAGUGGUACGCGAGCUGGGUUUAGAACGUCGUGAGACAGUUCGGUCCCUAUCUGCCGUGGGCGCUGGAGAACUGAGGGGGGCUGCUCCUAGUACGAGAGGACCGGAGUGGACGCAUCACUGGUGUUCGGGUUGUCAUGCCAAUGGCACUGCCCGGUAGCUAAAUGCGGAAGAGAUAAGUGCUGAAAGCAUCUAAGCACGAAACUUGCCCCGAGAUGAGUUCUCCCUGACUCCUUGAGAGUCCUGAAGGAACGUUGAAGACGACGACGUUGAUAGGCCGGGUGUGUAAGCGCAGCGAUGCGUUGAGCUAACCGGUACUAAUGAACCGUGAGGCUUAACCUU
rnacentral:rRNA from 1 species